CGGGAUGUAGCGCAGUUUGGUAGCGCACUGCGUUCGGGACGCAGGGGCCGCUGGUUCGAAUCCAGUCAUCCCGA
rnacentral:tRNA from 3 species